rnacentral:rRNA from 1 species
CCUACGGGUGGCAGCAGUGAGGAAUAUUGGUCAAUGGACGAAACUCUGAACCAGCCAAGUAGCGUGAAGGAUGACUGCCCUAUGGGUUGUAAACUGCUUUUAUGUGGGAAUAAACUGUUCCACGUGUGGCAUUUUGUAGGUACCGUAUGAAUAAGGAUCGGCUAAUUCCGUGCCAGCAGCCGCGGUAAUACGGAGGGUCCGGGCGUUAUCCGGAUUUAUUGGGUUUAAAGGGAGCGCAGGUGGAUUGUUAAGUGAGUUGUGAAAUUGUGCGGCUCAACCGUAAAAUUGCAGUUGAAACUGGGAGUCUUGAGUACAGUAGAGGUGGGCGGAAUUCGUGGUGUAGCGGUGAAAUGCUUAGAUAUCACGAAGAACUCCGAUUGCGAAGGCAGCUCACUGUACUGCAACUGACACUGAGGCUCGAAAGUGUGGGUAUCAAACAGGAUUAGAUACCCGAGUAGUC